UGGGGAAUUUUGGACAAUGGGCGAAAGCCUGAUCCAGCAAUGCCGCGUGUGUGAAGAAGGCCUUCGGGUUGUAAAGCACUUUUGUCCGGAAAGAAAUCCUUGGCUCUAAUACAGCCGGGGGAUGACGGUACCGGAAGAAUAAGCACCGGCUAACUACGUGCCAGCAGCCGCGGUAAUACGUAGGGUGCAAGCGUUAAUCGGAAUUACUGGGCGUAAAGCGUGCGCAGGCGGUUUGCUAAGACCGAUGUGAAAUCCCCGGGCUCAACCUGGGAACUGCAUUGGUGACUGGCAGGCUAGAGUAUGGCAGAGGGGGGUAGAAUUCCACGUGUAGCAGUGAAAUGCGUAGAGAUGUGGAGGAAUACCGAUGGCGAAGGCAGCCCCCUGGGCCAAUACUGACGCUCAUGCACGAAAGCGUGGGGAGCAAACAGGAUUAGAUACCCUGGUAGUCCACGCCCUAAACGAUGUCAACUAGUUGUUGGGGAUUCAUUUCCUUAGUAACGUAGCUAACGCGUGAAGUUGACCGCCUGGAGA
rnacentral:rRNA from 1 species